GUGUCAGCAGCCGCGGUAAUACGGAGGAUCCAAGCGUUAUCCGGAUUUAUUGGGUUUAAAGGGUGCGUAGGCGGCUUUUUAAGUCAGGGGUGAAAACUUGCGGCUCAACCGUAAGCUUGCCUUUGAUACUGAGGAGCUUGAAUACACUUGAGGUAGGCGGAAUGUGACAAGUAGCGGUGAAAUGCAUAGAUAUGUCACAGAACACCAAUUGCGAAGGCAGCUUACUAAAGUGAGAUUGACGCUGAGGCACGAAAGCGUGGGGAUCAAACAGGAUUAGAUACCCGCGUAGUCC
rnacentral:rRNA from 1 species